UACGUAGGUGGCAAGCGUUAUCCGGAUUUAUUGGGCGUAAAGGGAACGCAGGCGGUCUUUUAAGUCUGAUGUGAAAGCCUUCGGCUUAACCGGAGUAGUGCAUUGGAAACUGGGAGACUUGAGUGCAGAAGAGGAGAGUGGAACUCCAUGUGUAGCGGUGAAAUGCGUAGAUAUAUGGAAGAACACCAGUGGCGAAGGCGGCCUGCUGGACGACAACUGACGGUGAGGCGCGAAAGCGUGGGGAGCAAACAGG
rnacentral:rRNA from 1 species